AACGAACGCUGGCGGCAGGCUUAACACAUGCAAGUCGAACGAACGUAGCAAUACGUUAGUGGCGCACGGGUGAGUAACACGUGGAUAUCUGCCUUUUGGUUCGGGAUAACCCUGGGAAACUAGGGCUAAUACCGAAUGGUUCCUACGGGAUAAAGAUUUAUCGCCAAAAGAUGAGUCCGCGUCCGAUUAGCUAGUUGGUGGGGUAAUGGCUCACCAAGGCGACGAUCGGUAGCUGGUCUGAGAGGACGAUCAGCCACACUGGGACUGAGACACGGCCCAGACUCCGUACGGGAGGCAGCAGUGGGGAAUAUUGGACAAUGGGGGCAACCCUGAUCCAGCCAUGCUGCGUGAGUGAUGAA
rnacentral:rRNA from 1 species